ACCUAGACCGCGCCUCCGGGAACCGAAUUACCCGGCGGAAGUUGUUUGUCCCAUGCACGUGGAACUUGGAUAAGUUUGUGUUAUAUUCUGUACUGCCCGGUCCCCAGAGAGCUAAUGUCUAUCCUCAGAAGGAGCCGCGCUUAUUUUCUUGAUUUUUUUUUUUUUUUUUUUUUUUUGCUGGAAGAACCCAGUUUGGGGACUCUCCGCGGUAAUGAAGGCACCACGUGGUUAAAGAAUUUUUAAUCUGUCGCCCACGUAGUGCGAGCCACUUUGCACCGAAUACAGCCUCCUGCCGACCUUUGUCGCAUUUUCGCAGCCUGACUUUAGGAUUGCUGUGUCAGUAAGCGCAGUGGCAAGUCAGUCUCAACUUCACCACUUUGUCGUCAGAAACAUAGGCGGUCUGAGUUGAAAGGCCAUUGGGUUGGUUUCCACCCGCACAUCAUGGGUAAGGAAAUUGAGACUUAGGAAUCUCCUGGCAUCAGAGCUGGAUUUUGCAGUGCCUAAACAUAGAGUUGCCUGGUAUCCGAGUUGGAUUUCGCAGUGCCAGUUCUGGAGCUGAUCUUUCAGUAAGCUUGAGCGCCAUCUGGUGCUGAGUCUCAAAAAACGCAAUACUUCAUAGGCUUCUAUCAAGUGGUAAAAGUUAAAGACUUUAAAAGCUGUAUUUAAUGCCGCUGUUUCCGCUUAUUUAUUCUAAUAAAAUAAUAUUAAUUGCUUUUAUGGGGUAUGUUUUGCUGUGCCACAAACACCCAGAACGAUGAUGGCAGAGAAGUAUUUAAUCUUUUUGUUUUUUUUCUGCUUAAGGUUAGAAGCUUUUAUUCCUGCCUGGAAUCUCAAUCAGUGUAGCCCUUGUGUGCCCUCAUGACCGUGAACUAACAUCAGCUGAUCCAACCUAUGGCCAGGCCAGAAGUGUGAGUGCAGUUAAGAAAAUGAGGAAUCACCAUCAGGACUUCAAAACAAACAAACGUCCAAUCUUCGCCCAGGAUUCACAUAUCAUGUUUGGCACAUGACUACACCCAAGACUAAAUGAAAGCAUAAGCAACUUUUUUUUUUCAUGAUUAAAAAUAUGUUUUUCUCCUCAUACCCCAAUGGAUAUUCUUGCUUCACCCUAGGCUGAACAUGCCCCAUUGUAGAG
rnacentral:lncRNA from 1 species